rnacentral:tRNA from 1 species
UGAGAGAUGCCCGAGUGGUUAAAGGGGACGACUGUAAAUCCGUUGGCUCAGCCUACGUUGGUUCAAAUCCAACUCUCUCCA